GAAACGUAUUUUCUAUGCCGGUGUGCUAGGGAAAUUUUAUAUUUUCCCGGAUAAUCACAGCCCUCUUUGAGGGUGCAAGUGUGAGGUCCUAGGUAUACCUACCCAAAUAUAUUAGUCUUCGCAUGGCAUAGGGUUCUGCCUAAGGUGAAGUCACAAUGAUUAGAUACCAAGCUUAACAACUGAAGUUUGGCUAUGUAAGUAAGGGAAAGCAGAAAUCGAAAGGUAGGAGGAUUUUUUUUUUUUACUUUGGAGUAUUGGAGUUUCAACGCA
rnacentral:lncRNA from 1 species